rnacentral:rRNA from 1 species
UACGUAGGGUGCAAGCGUUAUCCGGAAUUAUUGGGCGUAAAGAGCUCGUAGGCGGUUUGUCGCGUCUGCUGUGAAAACCCGAGGCUCAACCUCGGGCCUGCAGUGGGUACGGGCAGACUAGAGUGCGGUAGGGGAGAUUGGAAUUCCUGGUGUAGCGGUGGAAUGCGCAGAUAUCAGGAGGAACACCGAUGGCGAAGGCAGAUCUCUGGGCCGUAACUGACGCUGAAGAGCGAAAGCAUGGGGAGCGAACAGG